rnacentral:rRNA from 1 species
GACGAACGCUGGCGGCGUGCUUAAUACAUGCAAGUCGACUGAACUUAAGGUAGCAAUAUUUUAAGGGAGGUGGCGCACGGGUGAGUAACACGUAGGUAAUCUGCCUUUAGGACUGACAUAACCCAGAGAAAUCUGGGCUAAUAUCAGAUGAUGCAGCGGCUCGACAUCGAGACAGUUGUUAAACCUUCGGGGCCUAGAGAUGAGCCUGCGUCUGAUUAGGUAGUUGGCGGGGUAAUGGCCCACCAAGCCAUCGAUCAGUAGCUGGUCUGAGAGGAUGAUCAGCCACACUGGAACUGAGACACGGUCCAGACUCCUACGGGAGGCAGCAGUAAGGAAUAUUGCUCGAAUGGCCGAAAGGCUGAAGCAGCAACGCCGCGUGGAGGAUGAAAUACUUUUGAUGUAAACUCCUGUGAGAAGGGAAAAUAUUUCGAUUUAUCGGAAUUGAUUGUACCUUCAGAGUAAGCACCGGCUAACU